AUUGAACGCUGGCGGCAGGCUUAACACAUGCAAGUCGAGCGGAGAGAGGUAGCUUGCUACUGAUCUUAGCGGCGGACGGGUGAGUAAUGCUUAGGAAUCUGCCUAUUAGUGGGGGACAACAUUUCGAAAGGAAUGCUAAUACCGCAUACGUCCUACGGGAGAAAGCAGGGGAUCUUCGGACCUUGCGCUAAUAGAUGAGCCUAAGUCGGAUUAGCUAGUUGGUGGGGUAAAGGCCUACCAAGGCGACGAUCUGUAGCGGGUCUGAGAGGAUGAUCCGCAACACUGGGACUGAGACACGGCCCAGACUCCUACGGGAGGCAGCAAUGGGGAAUAUUGGACAAUGGGCGGAAGCCUGAUCCAGCCAUGCCGCGUGUGUGAAGAAGGCCUUAUGGUUGUAAAGCACUUUAAGCGAGGAGGAGGCUACUUUAGUUAAUACCUAGAGAUAGUGGACGUUACUCGCAGAAUAAGCACCGGCUAACUCUGUGCCAGCCGCCGCGGUAA
rnacentral:rRNA from 1 species